rnacentral:rRNA from 1 species
GAUGAACGCUGGCGGCGUGCCUAAUACAUGCAAGUCGAGCGAACAGACGAGGAGCUUGCUCCUCUGACGUUAGCGGCGGACGGGUGAGUAACACGUGGAUAACCUACCUAUAAGACUGGGAUAACUUCGGGAAACCGGAGCUAAUACCGGAUAAUAUAUUGAACCGCAUGGUUCAAUAGUGAAAGACGGUUUUGCUGUCACUUAUAGAUGGAUCCGCGCCGCAUUAGCUAGUUGGUAAGGUAACGGCUUACCAAGGCGACGAUGCGUAGCCGACCUGAGAGGGUGAUCGGCCACACUGGAACGGAGACACGGUCCAGACUCCUACGGGAGGCAGCAGUAGGGAAUCUUCCGCAAUGGGCGAAAGCCUGACGGAGCAACGCCGCGUGAGUGAUGAAGGUCUUCGGAUCGUAAAACUCGGUUAUUAGGGAAGAACAAAUGUGUAAGUAACUAUGCACGUCUUGACGGUACCUAAUCAGAAAGCCACGGCUAACUACGUG